rnacentral:rRNA from 1 species
AGGAUGAACGCUGGCGGCGUGCUUAACACAUGCAAGUCGAACGAUGAACUGGCGCUUGCGUCGGGGAUUAGUGGCGAACGGGUGAGUAACACGUGAGUAACCUGCCCUUAACUCUGGGAUAAGCCUGGGAAACUGGGUCUAAUACCGGAUAUUGACUUUUCACCGCAUGGUGUUUUGUUGAAAGCUUUAGUGGUUUUGGAUGGACUCGCGGCCUAUCAGCUUGUUGGUGAGGUAAUGGCUUACCAAGGCGACGAC